GACGAACGUUGGCGGCGUGCCUAAUACAUGCAAGUCGAGCGAAGUUUUUCUGGUGCUUGCACCGGAAAAACUUAGCGGCGAACGGGUGAGUAACACGUAAAGAACCUGCCUCAUAGACUGGGACAACUAUUGGAAACGAUAGCUAAUACCGGAUAACAGCAUUAACUGCAUGGUUGAUGUUUAAAAGUUGGUUUUGCUAACACUAUGAGAUGGCUUUGCGGUGCAUUAGCUAGUUGGUGGGGUAAAGGCCUACCAAGGCGACGAUGCAUAGCCGACCUGAGAGGGUGAUCGGCCACACCGGGACUGAGACACGGCCCAGACUCCUACGGGAGGCAGCAGUAGGGAAUCUUCCGCAAUGGGCGAAAGCCUGACGGAGCAACGCCGCGUGAGUGAAGAAGGAUUUCGGUUCGUAAAGCUCUGUUGUUAGGGAAGAAUGAUUGUGUAGUAACUAUACACA
rnacentral:rRNA from 1 species